rnacentral:misc_RNA from 1 species
GAUGAAGAACGUAGCGAAAUGCGAUAAGUAGUGUGAAUUGCAGAAUUCAGUGAAUCAUCGAAUCUUUGAACGCACAUUGCGCCCCUUGGUAUUCCAUGGGGCAUGCCUGUUCGAGCGUCAUUUGUACCUUCAAGCUCUGCUUGGUGUUGGGUGUUUUGUCUCGCCUCUGCGUGUAGACUCGCCUUAAAACAAUUGGCAGCCGGCGUAUUGAUUUCGGAGCGCAGUACAUCUCGCGCUUUGCACUCAUAACGGCGACGUCCAAAAGUACAUUUUUACACUCUUGACCUCGGAUCAGGUAGGGAUACCCGCUGAACUUAAGCAUAUCAAUAAGCGGAGG